AUGACAUUCGAAACCCGACAUCAGGUCUUGUUUUCCCCGACUCAGCCACCCUAUAACCCGGUGUAUCGAACGACGUAUUACAGCAGUCUGCUUAUGGGUAUGGACCAGAACAAGGAUCGGGACAUGGAUCAAGACCUGGACAAAAACGGCCAGCUCCUCCAGAUUAUUUACGAGAUGAGACCCAAUAUAACCAACUGAAGACAUUCAAGUGUCUGGUAAGUAUGAGAGUCUGGAGGAGAGAGGAUUGGUUCAGGGUCAUUGUAAUGAAUGAUA
rnacentral:lncRNA from 1 species